rnacentral:rRNA from 1 species
UACGUAGGGGGGCAAGCGUUGUCCGGAUUUAUUGGGCGUAAAGAGCUCGUAGGCGGUUUGUCGCGUCUGCUGUGAAAACCCGAGGCUCAACCUCGGGCCUGCAGUCGAUACGGGCAGACUGGAGUUCGGCAGGGGAGACUGGAAUUCCUGGUGUAGCGGUGAAAUGCGCAGAUAUCAGGAGGAACACCGGUGGCGAAGGCGGGUCUCUGGGCCGAUACUGACGCUGAGGAGCGAAAGCGUGGGGAGCGAACAGG